rnacentral:rRNA from 1 species
AUUCCAGCUCCAAUAGCGUAUAUUAAAGUUGUUGCAGUUAAAACGCUCGUAGUCGGAUUUCGGGGCGGGCCGACCGGUCUGCCGAUGGGUAUGCACUGGCCGGCGCGUCCUUCCACCCGGAGACCGCGCCUACUCUUAACUGAGCGGGCGCGGGAGACGGGUCUUUUACUUUGAAAAAAUCAGAGUGUUUCAAGCAGGCAGUCGCUCUUGCAUGGAUUAGCAUGGGAUAAUGAAAUAGGACUCUGGUGCUAUUUUGUUGGUUUCUAGAUCUGGAGUAAUGAUUGAUAGGGAUAGUUGGGGGUGCUAGUAUUAAGGGGCCAGAGGUGAAAUUCUUGGAUUCUCCUAAGACUAACUUAUGCGAAAGCAUUCACCAAGGAUGUCUUCAUUA